rnacentral:lncRNA from 1 species
AUGAGCGGGCGAGAGCACGCCAGCCAAGGCGCCGAGGCAGCCGAACACCGGCCACCUGCGCAGCCCCGGCAGGAGGGUCAGCACCUUCCUCCAGCGGCCACGCAACGAAACCACAGCGGCGCCGGUGGCGGCUGCUCGGCGAGGACAAGGAGGAACGGCGGCGGCGGUUUGGAAUGGGGUCGCGUGCAGCACCUGUUCUACGUGCUCGGCGAGCUCGAGUCCUUCUCCGGCGACGCCAACCACUUCCUGGCCGCGCACGGGCUGCGUGCGCUCGCGCGCUGGCUCCCCGCCGCCGUUGGCACCGCGGCGGCCGCGGCCGUGCAGGCCUCAACAUGUGGUGCUGCCGCGGCGGCAGCGACGCCCCGGCCACUCCACGUCGUCGAUCUCGGCGUCUCCCACGGCGUGCAGCGGCAGCGCGUGGCGCGUGGCGCCGGUGAGUGCGUCGACGAGGUAGAGGCUGUGGAAGGGGUCGCGGUGGCGGAGGAGGACGAGGUGGCCGCGGGAGCCGGAGAGGAGGGUGGCGUUGCCAGGGACAGGGUAGGAGGAGAGGGGUGCCGCGACGACGAGCUAGGAGAAAGGUACGCAAUGCGGUAUGCGGGGGCGGAGGAGCCGGGGCAGAGGAGGAGGAGCGGCGGGAUGCGGGGGCGGAGGAGGAGGAGCAAGUGGCGCCAGGGCUGGCACGCGGCGGCGAAGACUCGGUGAGGAGGAGGAA